UUAACUAUUGUAUGACACUCAGACGACACGUUGAUCGAGUUUGGAGGUCCUCUGACGGGCACAGGCCGGCCGAAGCCGGCGGUGGGUCUCCCCACGGGCCCGCCAAAGCAACAGAGAAGGUAGACACGGGGUUGAGGGUUCGGGCCAAAGACCCGACCGCCAGUAAUGAUCCUUCCGCAGGUUCACCUACGGAAA
rnacentral:misc_RNA from 1 species